rnacentral:rRNA from 1 species
GAUGAACGCUGACAGAAUGCUUAACACAUGCAAGUCAACUUGAACUUCGGUUUGGGUGGCGGACGGGUGAGUAACGCGUAAAGAACUUGCCUCACAGCUAGGGACACCAUUUGGAAACGAAUGCUAAUACCUGAUAUUAUGAUUUUAGGGCAUCCUAGAAUUAUGAAAGCUAUAUGCGCUGUGAGAGAGCUUUGCGUCCUAUUAGCUAGUUGGAGAGGUAACGGCUCACCAAGGCGAUGAUGGGUAGCCGGCCUGAGAGGGUGAACGGCCACAAGGGAACGGGGACACGGCCCGUACUCCAACGGGGGGCAGCGGUGGGGAAUAUUGGACAAGGGACCAAGAGUCUGAUCGAGAAAUUCUGUGUGCAAUAUGAGGUUUUUCGGAAUGAAAAGUGCUUUCAGUUGAGAAGGAAAAAAUGACGGUACCAACAGAAGAAGUAACGGCUAACUACGUG